rnacentral:miRNA from 10 species
AAUAUGUCUACAGCCAUACCACCCUGAACGCACCCGAUCUCAUCUGAUCUCGGAAGCUAAGCAGGGUCGGGCCUGGUUAGUACUUGGAUGGG